rnacentral:rRNA from 1 species
AAAGCGUGCGCAGGCGGUUUUGUAAGACUGUCGUGAAAUCCCCGGGCUCAACCUGGGAAUGGCGAUGGUGACUGCAAGGCUAGAGUUUGGCAGAGGGGGGUAGAAUUCCACGUGUAGCAGUGAAAUGCGUAGAUAUGUGGAGGAACACCGAUGGCGAAGGCAGCCCCCUGGGUCAAAACUGACGUUCAUGCACGAAAGCGUGGGGAGCAAACAGGAUUAGAUACCCCAGU